AAAUCGGAUAAGAUUCGAGACAUCAAAUGAAAAAUUGACGCCGAUGGACACUCAAGAAGUAACACCUGUGUUGAUGAUGUUGCAAGUUCACGGAAAUUUAUCAAUUAACAGGAACACUUAAAGCGAUAUGGACGGUCCACUGACAAAGCGUUGAACCAACUGAUCAUGCAGCCAUAUAGGCGUACACUUAAACAGCAUCCGAUAAAAAAAGUACCUCCACGACUCGCAUCUGAAUAUAAAAGAUGUUCCAUCAGUGAUGUCAAGUUCGCGAACGAUGACUCCUUUCUUCUCCAAUGCUUCAAUAGCAGCUGUUUUUGUCAGUUCUGCUUC